UACGGAGGGGCAAGCGUUGUUCGGAAUUACUGGGCGUAAAGGCGCGCAGGCGGCUGCUCAAGUCAGGCGUGAAAGGCCUGGGCUCAACCCGGGAAUUGCGCUUGAGACUGGGCUGGCUUGAGUGCGGGAGAGGAUGGUGGAAUUCCCAGUGUAGAGGUGAAAUUCGUAGAUAUUGGGAAGAACACCGGUGGCGAAGGCGGCCAUCUGGACCGCAACUGACGCUGAGGCGCGAAGGCCAGGGGAGCAAAGCGGG
rnacentral:rRNA from 1 species